AAUAUUUAGAGGUAAUAACAACAAAUGGCUGUAUUUAAAUGCCAUUUUCUGUUACAGUGGCGGAUGAGGUUACUAUCCUCGGUUUCGGCAGCUGAUGGAAGACAUUCUGACAGAGUUGCCUGAGACCGAGGUGACAGGGGAUGUGGGUAGAUCAUCAUCAUUUGAGGUGACAAUCAAUGAUCAGCUGGUUUUCUCAAAGCUCAAGACUUAUGGAUUUCCAAAAUCACAAGAUGUGAUCAAAGAAAUUCAGCGGCUUUUGAACGGCGAGAAAUGUCAAGAAAUUACGGAAGCUUCUAGUCCCGGCUGUACUAUAUUAUAACUGAAUUUAAACAUUGUUUGAUUGAUCAUUUUCACCAAGGAAAGAACUUGUGCAUGUUGACUUUGUAUUAAAAGAUGGAAAAGGAAUACUAGUAUUAAAAUUGGUUUAUUUUGCUCAAUGACAAAUUUGGUCAAUAUUUUAAAUUUUAUGAAUAAUUUAAUAAAAGUUUGUGUGUGAAUUUUUUUAUCACUGUUUACAAUAGCUUCCUACUAGUGGAGCAACAUUUUUUUAGGGUCAAAGGUGAUAAAAACUAAAGUUUGAAAACCAGUCUCAUCAGCGUUGCCAUUGGUCAGUUUUAAAUUUCUGUUCAACAGCCAAUCAGAAACUGGUCUUCAGGCUUUAAAUUUUAUAAUCUUUGGCCCAGUGCUUUUUUUGUGCCCAGACUGUAGGGAAUUACAUUUAAGAAAAAACUAAGACUUUAUUUUAACAAACAUCUUUUAAGCAUUAAAAAAAAAGAGAAAUAAUCUGUCUCUCUGUAAAUAAUAUCAUAAUCAUGAUAGUUCUCCUCUGAUGUGUGAAUGUUUGCAGAAAAUUGAAGAAAACCCCAAACCUUUUGCAAUUAAGAAUAUGACCUACUUUAAGAAGGGAAAAUAGCUCAGUAAAUUUCCUAUCAGUAUUUAUUAUGGAUAACCAUACAAGACCUCAUACGAUGUUACUUUUGCAUAGUGCAUUACAUUUUACCCCAAGUUCUGGGCUUUUGCCCCAAGUUCAGGGCUAUUUUUGUAGUUUUCUUUAAUCAUGUUCAUAAUGAUUUAGGCAGAAUGAAAUACUCUAGGCAGAUGUUAGAUACUUGUAUAUUAACAGAAAAGUGUCCUUACUAUUUAUUUGUCAAACAUGUUCUUCGUGUAAUGUAUAAGUGUAAGAUCAAAAUAGUUAGCCCAUGGUUAUAUGUUGUCUAUAUUGUCGAGCAUUUAUCAUCUGUUAGGGCAGACCAAUGAAAAGGUGUUGUUUAAAGUUUUUUUGCUGCAGUACCUUGGAUGUAUUUCUGUAAGGCCUUUGUGAAUGAUUGCUUAAUUUUUGAAAAUUAAGCAUACAGUUUACAAUUGGCCAAACCUAACUUUUGAUAUCAGCUCUAAAUUUAGAAACAAUCAUUUGUUGUAUAUGCAUUGUAUGUCAUCUGUUUUUCAGUGAUUACUUUUGAUUUGCAUUCAUGUGAAUUUGUUUGCUUUCACAAAAUGGAAAUUAUUGUAUUAUUUACAAAUAAGUGCAUCAUUCCAGUUUUUUACACGGAAUGUUUUAUGUACUCACUCAUUGAUAUGUAUAUUUGUGCAGGACAUUCGUUUUCUAAUUAUUCAUUUUCAGAAUUGUGAUUUUUGUGUGUGUAAAUUACCUGGUUAAAACUGCUUUUCGUCAACAAUAACCAAAUAGAUUGACAUCCUGCUUCAUUUCAAUAAAAACUUCCAUACGGCAAGAAAAUAUCCCAAUAUAUAUUUUUUCUUUUCUCCUAAGCUUAUAGAAAAUCUAAGGAGAAGAUGUUGAAAAUAUUGAUUGGAGAUUAUUGAAAAAAAUGUUGCUGUAAUACUUCUUCCACCAAAAGUAAAAAUGUAAAAAAAAAAUAAAAAAUACAGAGUUACUAAUAUAUUUAAUUAGUAACACUGUAUUUUUUUUCAUUUUCACAAGUUAUUUCAUAUCAUUCUUAAUAAUGUAUCAUCGCACUUUACUAAAAUAAUUAUAUCAAGUCAAUAAAGAAGAUAGGGAAAAAUGUAUUUAUUGUAGAAAAAGACUUAAUUGAUUGGAAUGACUGUUAUUUUAUAGGCAGUGGCUAGGUAGCCGGUUCCGGCUACCUAGACCUUUAGUCUACGUAGCCGGUUCCGGCUACCUAGACUAAAGGUCUAGGUAGCCGGUUCUAUAUAUACAUAACGUAUAUGUACAUGUAAGGUCAAGGUAGCCGGUUUUGAUAAACUGUAUUAUAAAGGAUCAUUAUAUUAGUUAAAUAAAUUACAUUUCUUGUGAUUUAUUAUUUAUAUUUUGUGACUUACUUGUUUAUUUCGCCGUAUUUACGCACUUAUAUCAUAUCUGUCGAUACUUUGUUAUGUUAUCAUGUCGUUUUUGUCACUGGCGUGUUUAAAUGGCGCGUUUAUAAAUUCUUAAAAUAUCUUUUAAUGAUUUUUUGUAGUUUGUUAUAUAUUGAAAAACAUUUUUGAUAGAUGAUGUCAACUGACGGCGAUUCUUUAGCAUUAGGUCAUUAGUUAUUAUCUUUCGUAUCUAGAAUAUUACGCUGCCUUAGAUAAAGAGCUCAUAUGUUCAAACAAACAAUUAGAACCAAUCAAGAUUAUUGACUAAUAACAAAUUGGCGGAGAAAUUUUGUAGUAGUUAAUUAAUUAAAGACGCACAAUCAUAGAGGUGCGAAAGUGAUGAUCACCUACAAUUAUCACUUAAACGGGCGCAGGAAAGGAUCAAACGCCAGUAUGUUCAGUUGAGCCUCAUCAUUUAAUGUACAUUGAUGCUCUUUGUUUUGCCCUUUAUUACUGUUUGUUUUGUUUUGUUUUAAGAAUGAAUCACAGUAUCUCAUAUAUGUAUCAAGUACGUUUUAACAUAACAAAUUGAAAAUGUCGCCCGAUAUGAUAUGAGCGCGUAAAUACGAAAUAUACCGGUUAAACACAAAUAAUAAAUAAUGAAUUACAAGAAAUAAACUAAUAUUAUGAUUCUUUAUAAUACAGUUUAUUAAAUCCGGCUACCUUGACUUACAUGUUCAUAUACGAUAUCUAUAUAUAGAGCCGGCUACCUAGACCUUUAGUCUAGGUAGCCGGAACCGGCUACGUAGACUAAAGGUCUAGGUAGCCGGAACCGGCUACCUAGCCACUGCCUAUUUUAUAAUAUGCAGUAAUGUUUCGUCCCAUUAAUAGUUUUAGUACCAGAGCACUGAUCAUUACAAAUAUGUGAUUUUGUAAAAUUUUAUCUUGUUUUGCACCAUCCAUACUUCUGAAAUGAAGACAAUAAAAUUCAUUACAAAUAAAACAGAUUCUGUAGA
rnacentral:lncRNA from 1 species